GCUCUAAUUUCAGCAGUGUAUACACUAAAACUGGAACCAUACAGAAAGAGUAACAUGGCCUUUGCUCGAGGAUAACUUGUAAAUUCAUGGAGAUUCCAUUAUAUGU